UACGUAGGGCGCAAGCGUUAUCCGGAAUUAUUGGGCGUAAAGAGCUCGUAGGCGGUUUGUCGCGUCUGCCGUGAAAGUUCGGGGCUCAACUCCGGAUCUGCGGUGGGUACGGGCAGACUAGAGUGAUGUAGGGGAGACUGGAAUUCCUGGUGUAGCGGUGAAAUGCGCAGAUAUCAGGAGGAACACCGAUGGCGAAGGCAGGUCUCUGGGCAUUAACUGACGCUGAGGAGCGAAAGCAUGGGGAGCGAACAGG
rnacentral:rRNA from 1 species